AGAGUUUGAUCAUGGCUCAGAGCGAACGUUUGCGGCGGGCCUAACACAUGCAAGUCGAACGCACUAGCAAUNGUGAGUGACGCACGGGUGCGUAACACGUGGGUAAUCAACCCCUCAGCUUGGGAUAACGACUUGAAAGGGUCGCUAAUACCGAAUGCGGCGCGAGAGGCUUCGGCUUCUCACGAGAAAGCCUCGCAAGGGGCACUGAAGGACGAGCCUGCGGCCCAUCAGCUAGUUGGUGAGGUAAGAGCUCACCAAGGCGAAGACGGGUAGCUGGUCUGAGAGGAUGAUCAGCCACACUGGAACUGAGACACGGUCCAGACUCCUACGGGAGGCAGCAGUGGGGAAUAUUGCGCAAUGGGCGAAAGCCUGACGCAGCCACGCCGCGUGAGCGAUGAAGGCCUUCGGGUCGUAAAGCUCUGUGGGGAGAGACGAAGAAAGCCCGUGAAGAGCGGGCCUUGACGGUAUCUCCUUAGCAAGCACCGGCUAACUCCGUGCCAGCAGCCGCGGUAAUACGGAGGGUGCAAACGUUGCUCGGAAUCAUUGGGCGUAAAGCGCACGUAGGCGGCGAAGCAAGUUGGGUGUGAAAGCCCUGGGCUCAACCCAGGAAGUGCAUUCAAAACUGCUUCGCUUGAAUCUCGGAGGGGGUCAGAGAAUUCCCGGUGUAGAGGUGAAAUUCGUAGAUAUCGGGAGGAAUACCAGUGGCGAAGGCGCUGACCUGGACGAAGAUUGACGCUGAGGUGCGAAAGCGCGGGGAGCAAACAGGAUUAGAUACCCCGGUAGU
rnacentral:rRNA from 1 species